UACGUAGGGUGCAAGCGUUAAUCGGAAUUACUGGGCGUAAAGCGUGCGCAGGCGGUUAUGUAAGACAGGUGUGAAAUCCCCGGGCUUAAUCUGGGAACUGCAUUUGUGACUGCAUAGCUAGAGUACGGUAGAGGGGGAUGGAAUUCCGCGUGUAGCAGUGAAAUGCGUAGAUAUGCGGAGGAACACCGAUGGCGAAGGCAAUCCCCUGGACCUGUACUGACGCUCAUGCACGAAAGCGUGGGGAGCAAACAGG
rnacentral:rRNA from 1 species